GGGCAAAAGGCAAAGGAAAAAGAUAUCAAAGCUCCUCACAGCACCAAACCAGAAGUGGUUAAAAGACCUGGAACAGACGUGAACACAUCCCCACCGCUGGGUAAACCUCUGAAAAAGAGACCCAGCCUCAAGAAGGUUUUCUCAUUUAAGAAGCACACUGCCGCGGAGGAGGAGCGGGGCGAGGCAGGAGCAGAAGCGAAAGCCAGGAGACCCAACCGCCUUCUGCUGAGGCACAUCCAGAGACCGGCCUCACCAGUUACAGACCAGCCCGACUGCUACUACGCACAAGUCUCUGAAGAGAUAGGGCUGAUAGUCCACGGCAGCGAAAGCCAGGGGAACAGCGAGCGCAGUUUCAAAGAGCUGCAGGGACCGGCUAGCACGGAUGGAGUUGAGGAAGCCAUCAGAAAAAUCGUUGCCCUCCUCCAGAGUGCAGGAGAUGAGCURGAUAAGAAAGUAA
rnacentral:lncRNA from 1 species